UACGUAGGGUGCGAGCGUUAAUCGGAAUUACUGGGCGUAAAGCGUGCGCAGGCGGUUCGUUGUGUCGGUGGUGAAAGCCCCGGGCUUAACCUGGGAAUGGCCAUGGAAACUGGCGAACUGGAGUGUGGCAGAGGGGGGUGGAAUUCCGCGUGUAGCAGUGAAAUGCGUAGAGAUGCGGAGGAACACCGAUGGCGAAGGCAGCCCCCUGGCUAGCACUGACGCUCAGGCACGAAAGCGUGGGGAGCAAACAGG
rnacentral:rRNA from 1 species